rnacentral:tRNA from 1 species
GCGCCUGUAGCUCAGGUGGAUAGAGCACCGGACUUCUAAUCCGACGGUCGCAGGUUCGAAUCCUGCCAGGCGCGCCA